CUCCGGCGGGUUGAGCUGUGACCGAGGCAGGAGCCCCACGGGGACAGACACAACGAAGAAACACUGGCCCCGUUACAACACCACCGAGCAGAACUUCUUGCGCAUUGGCCGGAACGAGUCUCGCGUCCGAGGGCCGUUGCCGACCCAACACUGCAACUUCUGGGCCCGCCUCGAAAAGCUCUCCUAGUGCCGACUGACCCCUCUGGCUUAGGGGGCGAAGGGAGAGCUGAAGAAAGAAAGUCCCAGGAGGGACAUCUGGCUGUCCGGGGGACGGCAGGAACGCUCUUGAGGCAGGACCGAGGAUGGCUCCGUCUGUCUAUUCUCAGAUACCCCGCCCCACCGGACCGAUGCUCUGCCGACUCCUUCCCUCUCGGCUCUU